rnacentral:rRNA from 1 species
GACGAACGCUGGCGGCGUGCUUAACACAUGCAAGUCGAACGGAAAGGCCCUGCUUUUGUGGGGUGCUCGAGUGGCGAACGGGUGAGUAACACGUGAGUAACCUGCCCUUGACUUUGGGAUAACUUCAGGAAACUGGGGCUAAUACCGGAUAGGAGCUCCUGCUGCAUGGUGGGGGUUGGAAAGUUUCGGCGGUUGGGGAUGGACUCGCGGCUUAUCAGCUUGUUGGUGGGGUAGUGGCUUACCAAGGCUUUGACGGGUAGCCGGCCUGAGAGGGUGACCGGCCACAUUGGGAAUGAGAUACGGACCAGACUCCUACGGGAGGCAGCAGUGGGGAAUAUUGCACAAUGGGCGGAAGCCUGAUGCAGCAACGCCGCGUGCGGGAUGACGGCCUUCGGGUUGUAAACCGCUUUCGCCUGUGACGAAGCGUGAGUGACGGUAAUGGGUAAAGAAGCACCGGCUAACUACGUG